AUGAAUUGUUGGAGUGCACCUAUCAAGUGCUCCCAAACUUUCGGCCUCACUAGGUCUGGGCCGCUCGCUGGUGUGGUCAGCGGCGGCAUCGUGCAUUGGUUGUACACAAAUAAUACAAACUUCUACACCCUUAACAUAUCCGCUGACGCAACACAUGUCUCCUUAAACGAGAUCCCUAUCCAAGUCAAAAGUGGCUUGUCACCGUUCCCGUGCGUCGUCGGGGAAGGAAAGCUCUCAUUUGUUAAUACAAGCGCCGAAGAUGUCCUAGAACUUUGGACAAAGCGAGAACAAGACAAUGAUCAUAGUGCUGAGGGUAAGGAAGGAUGGGUGCAGUCCGAGUUGAUGCCCCUAGAGGUCAAGGGAAUUGAAAUCUUGUCCUUCGCAAAGAGGUCAUGUGUGAUACUCAUGGUGCAAAAGGGGAUCGGGCCUCCUAUUCUUUGUCUUGACCUCGUGAGCAAGAAAAUACAGACGAUGAUAAGGGAAAACCAUAAUAUGGCCAUGUUUUAUUCAUAUAACGGUGAUGAAAUGUGGAGAUGCAAGAACCAUGUGCUCUAUGAGAUUGAUUGGCGGUCAUACCUAUUUCACCUCUCAGCUGGAAGCUAA
rnacentral:rRNA from 1 species